UACGUAGGGCGCAAGCGUUGUCCGGAAUUAUUGGGCGUAAAGAGCUCGUAGGCGGUCUGUUACGUCUGCUGUGAAAACCCAGGGCUUAACCCUGGGCUUGCAGUGGAUACGGGCAAACUGGAGUACUGCAGGGGAGACUGGAAUUCCUGGUGUAGCGGUGAAAUGCGCAGAUAUCAGGAGGAACACCGGUGGCGAAGGCGGGUCUCUGGGCAGUAACUGACGCUGAGGAGCGAAAGCGUGGGGAGCGAACAGG
rnacentral:rRNA from 1 species